rnacentral:tRNA from 1 species
GUUCCUGUAGUUAAGGCAUUAACGAUGGCUUUUCGGGCCAUAGACCUUGGAGAAGUACCAAGUGGGAAUU